rnacentral:rRNA from 1 species
GACGAACGCUGGCGGCGUGCUUAACACAUGCAAGUCGAACGAUGAAACCUAGCUUGCUAGGUCGAUUAGUGGCGAACGGGUGAGUAACACGUGACUAACCUGCCCCUUUCUCUGGGAUAACGCUCCGAAAGGAGUGCUAAUACCGGAUACUCACACCGAGGCACAUGCCUUGGUGUGGAAAGUUUUUCGGAAAGGGAUGGAGUGCGCGGCCUAUCAGCUUGUUGGUGAGGUAACGGCUCACCAAGGCGACGACGGGUAGCCGGCCUGAGAGGGCGACCGGCCAAUCGGGGACGGAAACACGGCCCGAACUCCUACGGGAGGAAGAGGUGGGGAAUUUUGCACAAUGGUCGCAAGCCUGAUGCUGCGACGCCGCGGGAGGGAUGAAGGUCUUCGGAUUGUAAACCGCUUUCAGUAGGGACGAAGCGAAAGUGACGGUACCUAAAAAAGAAGCCCCGGCUACCUACGUGCCAGCCGCCGCGGUAA